rnacentral:siRNA from 1 species
GGGUAAGAUUGGUGAUUGG